CUCUGAGGCCGCACCCACUCACUCCAUCCCCCUCUCCCACUGUUGCUCAUUCUCCCCUACCCUCGCUCACUUUCACCGGGCUGGGACAGGGAGUUGGGUAUGGGAGGGGAUGUGGGCUC